rnacentral:lncRNA from 1 species
GACACAGUCCUGUGGUCAUAGCGAAUCUUUCUAAAGCUCUGAUCAGUCAAGAAGGGGGUUGUAUCAAUCCUCAGAACCCUGAGUGGAACUUUCUACAGGAUUUAUUAGGAGAAAAACCUUCCCGGAAGCUGCAGAAGGACAAAUACAGAAUCCGUGUCUGGGAGAAACCUCGUGGCCUGGUCUCCAUUAUUUGAGAUGAGUUACAUCUUGGAGGCCUGAUCUUUUGGCCAGAAGGAGAUUAAAAAGAUGCCCCUCAAGAUGGCUGUGCCUGUCAGCUGCAUGGAGCUUCGUUCAAGUAUUUUCUGAGCCUGAUGGAUUUACAGUGAUCUUCAGUGGUCUGGGGAAUAACGCUGGUGGAACCAUGCACUGGAAUGACACACGCCCGGCACAUUUCAGGAUACUAAAAGUGGUUUUAAGGGAGGCUGUGGCUGAAUGCCUCAUGGAUUCUUACAGCUUGGAUGUCCAUGGGGGACGAAGGACUGCAGCUGGCUGAGAGGGUUGAGAUCUCUGUUUACUUAGAUCUCUGCCAACUUCCUUUGGGUCUCCCUAUGGAAUGUAAGACCCCGACUCUUCCUGGUGAAGCAUCUGAUGCACGUUCCAUCCGGCGCUCAGCUGGGCUUGAGCUGACCAUACUCCCUGGAGCCUUCUCCCGAGGUGCGCGGGUGACCUUGGCACAUACAGCCAUCAUGAUGGUACUUUAAGUGGAGGCUGAAUCAUCUCCCCUUUGAGCUGCUUGGCACGUGGCUCCCUUGGUGUUCCCCUUUUACUGCCAGGACACUGAGAUUUGGAGAGAAUCCUGUUACACCUGGGAUUUAGGCACUUUCAAUCUGAAAAAAUACAUAUCCUUUCAGCACUCUGGACGGACUUGAGAACUGUCCUUACGUGACCUAAAGCUGGAGUAUUUUGAGAUUGGAGAAUUAAGAGCCAGUCUUGGUGCUCUGUGUUCACCUGGUUCAUCUGAGGAGCUGCAUCUACCCUGCCCAUGCCAUAGAUCCUGCCCUGUUUGCUUCUCCUGUUGCUGCUAGUGGACAUGAGAAGGACAGAAUAACGGGCUCCCAGAUUCACAAGCCCCACCAAGAGGAUCACCCCAGGAACGCUUGGAGGCUGAGGAGUUCACUGAGGCUACUGCAUCUUGAGACUCAGGAUGAAGACCCAGCUUGGGGCUGUCAAAGGUUUUUUGCAUGUCUGACACCCAUGACUCCACCUGGACCUUAUGGCUCCACCCAGAAGCAAUUCAGCCCAACAGGAGGACAGCUUCAACCCAUUACGAUUUCAUCUCUGCCCCAACCACUCAGCAGCAAGCACCUGUUACCUGUCCACCCCCACCCCUUCCCCCAAACUGCCUUUGAAAAAUCCCUAACCUAUGAGCUUUGAAUAAGAUGAGUACGAACUUCAUCGCCCACGUGGCGUGGCCGGCCUCGUGUCUAUUAAAUUCUUUUUCUACUACAA